GCGAUAGUAGCUCAGUUGGCAGAGCAUCAGCUUCCCAAGCUGAGGGUCGCGGGUUCGACCCCCGUCUAUCGCU
rnacentral:tRNA from 1 species